rnacentral:rRNA from 1 species
GACGAACGCUGGCGGCGUGCUUAACACAUGCAAGUCGAACGGAAAGGCCCUGCUUUUGUGGGGUGCUCGAGUGGCGAACGGGUGAGUAACACGUGAGUAACCUGCCCUGGACUUUGGGAUAACUUCAGGAAACUGGUGCUAAUACCUGAUAGGAGCUCCUGCUGCAUGGUGGGGGUUGGAAAGUUUCGGCGGUUGGGGAUGUACUCGCGGCUUAUCAGCUUGUUGGGGGGGUAGUGGCUUACCAAGGGUUUGACGGGUAGCCGGCCUGAGAGGGUGACCGGCCACAUUGGGACUGAGAUACGGCCCAGACUCCUACGGGAGGCAGCAGUGGGGAAUAUUGCACAAUGGGCGGAAGCCUGAUGCAGCAACGCCGCGUGCGGGAUGACGGCCUUCGGGUUGUAAACCGCUUUAGCCUGUGACGAAGCGUGAGUGACGGUAAUGGGUAAAGAAGCACCGGCUAACUACGUG